GGCGAGUCAGCCUCCAGAAAAGCCGGAACAUUCGGCACAGUUCAGCUCUUCUCUUCCUCUCCUCGGGAUGAGACCCAAGCUGCACAUUUUCUCAAAUUGCGCUGAGCUGUGACACCUAAAGGGUUACUAAAGCUUUGGCUACAGCAUGGCAGCCUAGACUUCGAGAGACAAGAUACAGAACUUGACAGUCGUCUUAAAAGGUUAAGAGAUGUGUCUAGUAAGAAGAUGCUAUGGGCCGAUGUCAAACAAGUUGCUACCAGUGUUCCCCUCUAGGAUUUUGGUGUUUUCCUGUCUCACAUUCAGAAUUCCAUCAGGAAAACACUCUGCAUUGAGUCAUCAUAUCUCCUGAGGCUCCUUUUGGCUGUGGCAGCUAUUCAGAAUAUAUACCAGAUUCUGGUGAGCUUCCAGGAAGUUAAUAGUCUCCAGUGACUCUUGAAAACUGAAAAUGUAGUCUCAAUGGAUUAUCGGUGUACCAUGUCGCACUGCCAAAUAACCGUGUUGAAUGUGAUGCCUUCAGAAUAGAGCGAAGCCUAC